rnacentral:lncRNA from 10 species
AAAUUGGAUUCUUCACGUGUGUAGUUAAGUAGCUCACCUCCAUUAGGAAGGGGGGCUUAUUGGAAAUCCAGAGAAAGUGUUACAAUCAGGAGGAAAUUUUAGUAGAAGAAACCAAAAGACCAUUACCAAAGCUUGCAAACAAUGCACCUAGCAUAGCUCACUCAGGGUGUAGUGUUCCUCAAAGUGAAAAUCCCAAAGCCAGAAAAGGCCACCUGAGGUCCCACAGUGAGAAGCUGAGCCACAAACACAAUCCCAACAGGAGAAGAAAAAUUAC